rnacentral:lncRNA from 7 species
AGUCACAUGUUCAACAUGCUGAUGAUAGCAGUGCAUUAGCCCACCCUGUUCUCGUGGGCAUAUGUAGGUAAAAAAUUGAAGCAGAACAAACCAGGCUCCAGCUUUGCUUGUCGGACUCUUCAUCAGAAGAUCUUGUUUUGAACCCUACUGGUCCUGACUACAUGCUUAAUUCACCUGUGAGAUGGAUGAAUAUCUGCUUCACAACCAUUUUUCAUCAUGAUGUCUCAGCAGCCGCCUUACUCCAGUGAUUAUACUGAGGCCCUUGCUCAUCUCAGAGCUGGAUUUUCCUCCCCAUCAGAACUGCAAGGGUUUAGGAUGGCUGGCAGGCAUCUUUGAGGAGAAUGGCUGGGUCAAAUGAAGCCAGCAGGAUCCUCUCACCCUAAUUACAACUUUAUAAGAAAGGCUGAACUACCUCCAGGCACCACAGGACUAGGAAGUGCCUUUACACAAGGACUGAAUGUGGCCUGCAAGAUGGGAGAUGGACCCAUGUGUGAAUACUCCCAAACUUAAGUAGAGCCAACACUUUGCAUUCACGUCUUCCAGCACAUAGAAUAUAAAUCAAGGCUCCAUAUUUUCAAAAAUGAGGUGGAAUCUUCAGGCUUCUCCACUCUUAAAAGACUGGUCAGUGUCCUUGUGAUUAGUUUCUAGAUCAGGACUCCUACAUUUUGUCUAUCAAAAAGGUUCAUUAGACAAGUAAAUGUGAUUAACAUACCAGCUUACCUCACAAUGACUCUACUGCAUACAGAACCAUGCUGAGGUAUCAUCAUUUCACUUACCUUUAUCAGACAGUCUUCUACAGGCACAACAACUUGUGGGGAAUGCUUAUGAGGCUCAGCAGUACCAAGGACACCACGGUUAAGGACGACAAUUAUACAGGCACAAAAAUCACAGGAUUUGGAUUACUGCUAUUUGUUUUCCUCACUUGGGGUUUCAAACUAAACCCUUAGGAAGAGAAACUCAUCAACCCAACUAUUUUCACUUAUAUUUAAUUAAGAAGUUUAUUUAAACAAAUCAGCAUCUAGCCUCCCUUGCCAAAAUUCUCCCUGUAGCAUAGCCCUGCCACUGCCCACCUGCUGCACAGCAGGAUCAUACUUAGCCCCAGCCCCUGGCACACACUGCAUGCUUGCGGUCGAUGGUUUGCUUGAAGAAGCACAGACCACUAAUAAAUUGCAUAGUCAUUACCCUUUAUGCAUGCUUGUUCUAAUAGGUGUCACAGAUUCCUGCCUCCUAAUAAGGAAAGGAAGUAGAAAAACACAUAAAUUCUCCCGAGGGAGUCUGACAGCCUGAAGCCAUGUUCGACAGCUGUUACUGUUACCAUGAGCACCAAGAGCAAAACAAGGAUUACAAGUUGGAGAAAAAGAAAAGAUGCAUUGCCAGGGAUUUUGGCAAGAUUUUCUUGGAUACGGAAUGUUUUUUGCACUGCCCCGGUCUAUAAAAGCACAGCACUCCUGUGGCACGUGUUGGAAUUUGGAGAUUAAACAAAUAUGAGC